rnacentral:lncRNA from 1 species
UCUCCAGAACGGCGGUGGCAUAAAGAAGAAGAAAAUGGUGGGAAAGAGAAAAUGCUAGCCACAAUGAAAUACAAGGGGUAGCGUGGAACAAUCAUGAAUUGGUGAAAUACAAGGGUAGCGUGGCGUGUCCACCGUGGGAUUUGACAGAGUCCAAUUGAACCUCACGUAAUAUAGAGGUGGGCCAUGGAGUAUUGAGAUGGUGGGACCAU